CCCCAGUCUAGCUGACUGCUGGGGCAGGAUGCGGGCCCCAGCACUGCUUCUGGUUGUCUUGGCUCCCGUCAUGCAGGUAUCUUCCAACUUGAUGUUAAUCACUAGCAAGACUGGGGAGACUGCUUCGUUCCCUUGUGAUCUUACACAAGGGGCCACCUAUAUCCACUUGUACAAACAUGAGGAGGGGAUGGCCCCCCGACGCCUUUUAUACUACGACAGCUACAACUCAAAGCCUGUGCUUGAAUCAGGAAUCAGUGGAACAAAAUACCAUGUCUAUAAGGGCACAGGGAUGAGCUAUACAUUUACAAUCGUAAAUCUGCAAGCAAGUGAUUCCGGCAUAUACUACUGUGCUAUCUGGGAUAAGCACGUUGGUUCAGACUUCCUGUACACUGCACUGGAAAUUUUGCUUGUGGCUGAAAAUCACAGCCCUGAUAUCAGCAGCUGCUUCACUUCCUCCCCCAAUUUCUUUUUACUCUAA